UGGGCUGUGAUGAGAGGCGCAGGGGUACGGACCUCAGCCAGCAAUGGGGGCUGAGUGUUGGUGUUGGUCCUGUUCAGCAGGCGUGUGGCCUGCGGGCAGGGAGGCACCGACACGAUAAAGACGCCCGUCUGAGCCUG